rnacentral:rRNA from 1 species
AGACCCGAAACCCGGUGAUCUAGCCAUGGGCAGGUUGAAGGUUGGGUAACACUAACUGGAGGACCGAACCGACUAAUGUUGAAAAAUUAGCGGAUGACCUGUGGCUGGGGGUGAAAGGCCAAUCAAACCGGGAGAUAGCUGGUUCUCCCCGAAAGCUAUUUAGGUAGCGCCUCGUGAAUUCAUCUCCGGGGGUAGAGCACUGUUUCGGCUAGGGGGCCAUCCCGGCUUACCAACCCGAUGCAAACUGCGAAUACCGGAGAAUGUUAUCACGGGAGACACACGGCGGGUGCUAACGUCCGUCGUGAAGAGGGAAACAACCCAGACCGCCAGCUAAGGUCCCAAAGUCAUGGUUAAGUGGGAAACGAUGUGGGAAGGCCCAGACAGCCAGGAUGUUGGCUUAGAAGCAGCCAUCAUUUAAAGAAAGCGUAAUAGCUCACUGGUCGAGUCGGCCUGCGCGGAAGAUGUAACGGGGCUAAACCAUGCACCGAAGCUGCGGCAGCGACACUGUGUGUUGUUGGGUAGGGGAGCGUUCUGUAAGCCUGUGAAGGUGUGUCGUGAGGCAUGCUG